UCGUCCCCCGCCUGACUCGCUCUCCGCCGUCCGGGGCGCCGCGGCCGAGUCAGGAAGUUCAAGAUGGCGGCCGCGGAGGCUCCGGCGCUGCGGGACCAGCCCGAGAUGGAGGAUGCUGAUAAUUCUGAAAAGAGUGUAAAUGAAGAAAAUGGAGAAGUAUCAGAAGACCAAUCCCAAAAUAAACACAGUCGGCAUAAAAAAAAGAAGCAUAAACACAGAAGUAAACACAAGAAGCAUAAACACUGCUCGGAGGACGACAACAAGGACAGAAAGCACCGGCACAGGCGCAAGCACAAGAAGCACAAGCGGAGGGAGGCGGCCGACGCCUCGGACAGGGAGGGCCUGUCUCCGGCCAAGCGAACCAAGCUGGACGACCUGGCUCUGCUGGAAGACCUGGAGAAGCAGCGGGCCUUGAUCAAAGCCGAGCUGGAUAACGAGUUGCUGGAGGGGAAGGUGCAGUCGGGGAUGGGGCUCAUCCUGCAGGGCUAUGAGUCUGGCUCCGAAGAGGAGGGCGAGAUUCACGAAAAGGUGAGGAACGGGAACAGGUCUAGUACCAGAUCUUCAAGUACAAAGGGGAAACUUGAACUUGGGGACAAUAAAAACAGUACAAAAAAACGAAGUAAAAGCAGAUCCAAAGAACGGACUAGACACAGGUCGGACAAAAAGAAAAGUAAGACAGGGAUGGAAGUGGUUAAGGACAAAGCGGCAAGGAGCAAGUCAAAAGAAAGGAAAAAGUCCAAAAGUCCUUGCAGAGGGGGCAAGGCUCAGGACCUGGCCAGGAAGUCGCGCUCUCCCCCCCUGCGAAGGCGGUCUCAGGAGAAAAGUGGCAAGGCCAGAUCGCCUCCCGAAGAGAAGCUGAAACUUGAAGACAGAAACAAAUCAAAAGACAGGAAAAAAUCCCCAGUGUUAAAUGAGAGGAGUCGUGAUCGGGGUAAAAGGUCCCGGUCCCCAGUUGACUUCCGAGAUAAAUCCAAAGACAGAAGGUCAAGGUCCAAAGAGAGAAAAGCAAGGCGUUCUGAGACGGACAAAGAGAAGAAGCCAAUCAAAUCGCCCUCUAAGGACGCCUCUUCCGGCAAGGAGAACAGGUCACCCGGCAGGAGGCCUGGUCGCAGUCCCAAAAGAAGGAGUUUGUCCCCGAGACUGCGGGAUAGAUCGAGGAGAAGCAGGUCUCCGCUCACCGCCGACAGGGGGUCCAAGCACAGCAAGUCCCCCUCGCGCACCCUGUCCCCCGGGAGGAGAGCGCGCAGCCGGUCCCUGGACAGGAAGCGGAGAGAACCCGACCGGAGGCGGCUGUCUUCUCCCAGGACACGCCCACGAGAUGAUGUCCUCAGUAGACGGGAGAGAUCCAAGGAUGUCAGCCCCAUCAACAGAUGGUCCCCGACGCGAAGGAGAAGCAGGUCUCCCAUCAGAAGGCGGUCUCGCUCCCCACUGCGGCGCAGUAGGUCUCCAAGAAGAAGAAGCAGGUCCCCACGGAGAAGGGACAGAGGCCGGAGGAGCAGGUCACGCCUGAGAAGGAGGUCCCGGUCACGUGGUGGCCGCAGGCGGAGGAGCCGAAGCAAAGUGAAGGAAGAUAAAUUUAAAGGAAGCCUUUCCGAAGGAAUGAAAGCUGAGCAGGAGUCGUCAUCUGAUGACAACCUAGAAGAUUUUGACGUGGAAGAAGAAGAUGAAGAAGCGCUGAUCGAGCAGCGAAGGAUACAGAGGCAGGCCAUCGUUCAGAAAUACAAGUACCUUGCCGAAGACAGCAACAUGUCCGUCCCGUCUGAGCCAAGCAGCCCCCAGAGCAGUACUCGGUCGCGGUCCCCGUCUCCUGAUGACAUCCUUGAGCGAGUCGCGGCCGAUGUCAAGGAGUAUGAGCGGGAGAACGUGGAUACUUUUGAGGCCUCCGUGAAGGCCAAGCAUAAUCUAAUGACUGUUGAGCAGAAUAAUGGGUCGUCUCAGAAGAAGCUCUUGGCACCUGAUAUGUUUACAGAAUCUGAUGAUAUGUUUGCUGCGUACUUCGAUAGCGCUCGUCUUCGUGCUGCUGGCAUUGGCAAGGACUUCAAAGAGAAUCCCAACCUUCGCGAUAACUGGACUGAUGCCGAAGGCUAUUACCGUGUGAACAUAGGUGAGGUGCUGGAUAAGCGUUACAACGUGUAUGGCUACACUGGGCAAGGGGUGUUCAGUAACGUGGUGCGAGCCCGGGAUAAUGCAAGAGCCAACCAGGAAGUGGCUGUCAAAAUCAUCAGAAACAACGAGCUCAUGCAGAAGACUGGUUUGAAAGAACUAGAGUUUUUGAAAAAACUUAAUGAUGCUGAUCCUGACGACAAAUUUCACUGUCUGCGGCUCUUCCGGCACUUCUACCACAAGCAGCACCUGUGCCUCGUGUUUGAGCCCCUCAGUAUGAAUUUACGAGAGGUGUUGAAAAAAUAUGGUAAAGAUGUUGGUCUUCAUAUCAAAGCCGUAAGAUCAUACAGUCAGCAGUUGUUCCUGGCCUUGAAACUCCUUAAAAGGUGUAACAUUCUCCAUGCUGACAUCAAGCCGGACAACAUCCUGGUUAAUGAAUCAAAAACAAUUUUAAAGCUUUGUGAUUUUGGGUCGGCUUCCCAUGUUGCGGAUAAUGACAUAACGCCUUACCUUGUCAGUAGAUUUUAUCGUGCUCCUGAAAUCAUUAUAGGUAAAAGCUAUGACUAUGGUAUAGACAUGUGGUCUGUAGGAUGUACCUUGUACGAACUCUAUACUGGAAAAAUUUUAUUUCCUGGCAAAACCAAUAAUCAUAUGCUGAAGCUUGCUAUGGAUCUUAAAGGAAAGAUGCCGAAUAAGAUGAUACGGAAAGGAGUAUUCAAAGAUCAGCAUUUCGAUCAGAAUCUCAACUUCAUGUACAUAGAAGUGGAUAAAGUUACAGAGAGGGAGAAAGUUACUGUCAUGAGUACCAUUAAUCCAACUAAGGACCUGCUGGCCGAUUUGAUUGGGUGCCAGCGGCUUCCUGAAGACCAGCGUAAGAAGGUGCACCAGCUGAAGGACUUGUUGGAUCAGAUCCUCAUGCUGGACCCCGCGAAGCGGAUUAGCAUCAACCAGGCGCUACAGCAUGCCUUCAUCCAGGAGAAGAUUUAAACGAGAUGAAGAAACUCCACGGGUUUGAGUAACUAAAUACAAAGACUGAAGAAAUUUCACAGCAGUUUAUUAAUGUAUAUAAACUUAUAAAUAUUUCUCCAGCAAAUUUGAGGAAGCAUGAUAUAUUUGAAUUAACUCCAAGGGUGAUAUUUCUCUUAGCAAUGUUAGCUAAUCUGUUUUGUGUCUUAUGUGAAAUUUCACUGUAGAACUGUUUUAUUGCCAAGACUGCACAGAGUCCCAGUGCUAAUGUACAUGGUUGCAGUUCACAUAGAGACGGAGCCAUCUGUUCUGACGAGUAGUGAUGCUGGGUGGUCUGGAGAUAAAGCGGCCAGCGUAAAUGCUGUUUAUAUUCACGUUUUCCUAGGUGUGUGUGCAGGCCACAGCAGCAUGCCCUUGGGGUAGUCAGUGCCGAAGGGGCCUGUGCCUCCGAGCCUGCCGAGGGAUGCUGUCCUCUUAGGGAGCAGGUUGUGUGCGUCAGUCAGUACACUGAAGGCGUAACCCUCCCACUCUUGAACAAAGCAGCUGCUUUUUAAAAGCGAGAAAAAGGAAAACGGGCCACAGGCCAUCCCACGCCUUCUGCAAGGGGUCUGAUUUGCUGAGACACCAGCUUCACCUCCUUACCAAGGUUAUUUCUGACAGCAUGUGUAGAUAAACACUUAGCAGCGUCAUGUAAAUCAGCUUGGUUUGGCAACGCAGAAGAAUUUAUAUUCUUAACAUAACGGUGAAUUUUCAAAAGUGUAUGUAAUUCUGUUUUGGGGGUAAAAUUAAUGGUUGUCUCCCUGAGGAAUAUGAAAAGCUAUCAGAUUUUAAGGGCUUAAAAUAAGUGGUUUUUGGUUUUUUUUGUUUUUUUGUUUUUUUUGUUUUAAUUGUAAAUGGGAUUUUUUUUUUCACCCAGGAACCUAAUUACAGGAAGUAUGCACAUUUUGGUGCAUUCAAGAAUGGAAAAUCAGAAUAGCACUUUGCUGCUGGUGGGUUUGCUUCCUUUAAAGACAUGAAAGUACCCCACGGAGGUGACAGGAUGAGCCAGCUCUGAGCCCGCGCCCUGUCUCCUGAUGCCUUAGGCGUGGAGAGCCAAGCGCAGGCGGUGUCUCGGGUGGACUAGGGCCUGAUGACGAAGGCGCCACAGGGGCAGCUCUCCCACCUCAUCACCCGCACAGCGAUCGCCCACCAGAAUUUUGGUGAUCGUAUGCUGCAUAGUCAAAAGUCUUUUUUCCCCCCAUCUGAAAUAGUUAGCAUUUUAGUGCUUCUGGCAAUUUUUUUUUAAAACUUCAGUUUAUAGAAUUACUUAAGUAACGUAAUUUUCACUAGAGACAGUUCAUCUUAUACCUUCAAAACUGUUACCUAUUCUUUAAAAAACAAAGUUGCUUGUUACUUGUUCUUUGUGUUUUAGGUGCAGCUCAGUGGAAGAUGAUGACCACCAGAAGACAUGAGCUAAGGGUAAGGGACUGUUGAAGAACCUUUCCACUUAGUGGUCAAGAUGUGGACGCUGCCGUGGUAUCCUGUGUGUUCAUAGUAUCAUUGGAACUGUAACUAGAAUUUCAACAACACAUGUUCCCCCAAACCUUUGAGAAACUUAAUAAAACACGCCUCUAGUCA